rnacentral:rRNA from 1 species
GACGAACGCUGGCGGCGUGCUUAACACAUGCAAGUCGAACGGAAAGGCCCUGAUUUUGUGGGGUGCUCGAGUGGCGAACGGGUGAGUAACACGUGAGUAACCUGCCCUUGACUUUGGGAUAACUUCAGGAAACUGGGGCUAAUACCGGAUAGGAGCUGCUGCUGCAUGGUGGGGGUUGGAAAGUUUCGGCGGUUGGGGAUGGACUAGCGGCUUAUCAGCUUGUUGGUGGGGUAGUGGCAUACCAAGGCUUUGAAGGGUAGCCGGCCUGAGAGGGUGACCGGCCACAAUGGGACUGAGAGACGGCGCAGACGCCUACGGGAGGCAGCAGGGGGGAGUAUUGCACAGUGGGCGGAAGCCUGAUGCAGCAACGCCGCGUUCGGGAUGACGGCCUUCUGGUUGUAAACCGCUUUCGCCUGUGACGAAGCGUGAGUGACGGUAAUGGGUAAAGAAGCACCGGCUAACUACGUG